rnacentral:rRNA from 1 species
UACGAAGGGGGCUAGCGUUGUUCGGAAUUACUGGGCGUAAAGCGCACGUAGGCGGAUUUGUAAGUCAGGGGUGAAAUCCCGGGGCUCAACCUCGGAACUGCCUUUGAUACUGCAAGUCUCGAGUCCGGAAGAGGUGAGUGGAAUUCCUAGUGUAGAGGUGAAAUUCGUAGAUAUUCGGAGGAACACCAGAAGCGAAGGCGGCUCACUGGCCCGAUACUGACGCUGAGGCGCGAAAGCGUGGGGAGCAAACAGG